rnacentral:sRNA from 1 species
CUAUUGCGCGUGUCGUGCAGAUGAGAACCUGCGCUCAGGUUCGAGCCGAGCGAAGCGAGACAGCAACGCGUCAGCGUUGACCCCGAAGGGGCGAGGCCAAAGGCCGAGUCAUCCUGCAAGACCCACCA